rnacentral:rRNA from 1 species
UACGUAGGGGGCGAGCGUUGUCCGAAGUUACUGGGCGUAAAGCGCACGUAGGCGGACUCUUAAGUCGGUGGUGAAAUCCUGGAGCUCAACUCCAGAACUGCCUUCGAUACUGAGAGUCUCGAGUCCGGGAGAGGUGAGUGGAACUGCGAGUGUAGAGGUGAAAUUCGUAGAUAUUCGCAAGAACACCAGUGGCGAAGGCGGCUCACUGGCCCGGUACUGACGCUGAGGUGCGAAAGCGUGGGGAGCAAACAGG